UUAGCUGUCACUUGCAUGUGGUUUCGCCUGUAUGUGGCGGGUCAGGUUAGAUAAUUGAGUUUCGUUUAUGCUAUGAUUUUUACCACUUGAAGAUUCUGAAAUUUCCCUGAACUUCAGUAGUUGAACGCGUCGAUCCACCAAGUGUGGGAAUACGAUAUAAAUCUUGGAGCUUAUAUACGAAAGGCAAAUUUAGUUGUUAAAAAAAAUCGAAUUUCUACUCUGGGAAUGCAAAGUAAAAGCAUGUCUACUUGGAAAAACACCGAAAGCUGUUACUUCUCAUUGCAAAUCAGUCUUAUAGUAAUUAUCUUGAUACCGUUCACCUGUUCUCAAUCAGUGAGAAAUACAAUGGUUUUAAAUAACAAUCCUUCGUCUUUCAACUCAGCAUUAUUAUAUUCUCAAAUGAAUAUGAAUAACUUUCCAGGUCAGUCCUCCAUGACACAAAUGUUUGGUUCUGGCAGUAGAAGAUUGUCGGUGUUGUCCACUCUUUUCAAUGGCUUAAGAAACAGCGGACUGGAACAAACCAUAGCUGGAGAAGUUUUGCAAAGGCUUAUCAAAACAACCUUAAAGGACAUUCUAGUUCCAUUUAAAAGUAAUGCAUUCUCAUCGGGAAGUGUCUGAUUUGGAAAGCUGGUCUUUUCCUCGAGCAUAGUCUUCAACCAUUUAGUCCUUGAAUAUUUUUAUAUGUACAAGUCUAUUAUUCACAUUUGCAUUUACAUAUUAUAGCUAGGUUUUGCGUUCUACAAAAACACAGCUUGGAAAUGAAAAAGUAUGUGUAGUGACUGGUAAACAUUUGAUUGAUAUAACUCAAAAUUUUAAUUGUAUUUUAAUGAAUUUUUAUUUGAUUUCUUUUUCUAGUAAAAUGCUGCUAUUACAUUUUUUUGCAUAAAUAUUCUUAUUCUUGAAUGAGCAAAUAAUUCAUUUUUGUGACUGUUUGAAUGUACAAAAUGCUGAAAUGUCACUCUUCUAAAGGCAGUAUAGAAGAUUUAAAAUUUAUUUUGAAUUAUCAGUGUUUAAAGAGUAACUAAUAAAGCAUUUAUUCUAAAAGAGUCGAGGAAAUUCAAAGAUUUAGAAAUAGGAAAUUCGACUUUUUUAAUUAAAUUGUAUGUCAAGCAAUAAUUUAUUUCGCGUUCAAGAAUUUUUAAAAAACGUGUUGAUAGAAAAAAGUGUAAUCUUGUAAAACUGUUGAGAACUAAUGAAAUCCGCACAAUACAAAUUCUAGACUGAUUUAAUGUUUUUAAUGUUAUCUUUGAGAAGCAAAAAAGUAACUGGCUUGUUUUUCUUUUUAUCCUUCAAUCAUUUAGUUAGCUUAUUCUGUUGAAAUAUGUAAACAAAACAGAUCUUUUAGGGAACUCGAAGUUUAAUGUUUAUACCUUUCAUAUUAAAAUAAUGUUUCUUUUCUUAGAAUCUAACAAAUAUAUUUGUUUUGCUUUAGAUUUUUUUGAAUAACUAGAUAUUUAACCAGCCACUUCGGAAGUUUUUCUCAUGCUUGCAGGAAUGAAAAUGUGAUAUUCUGCCAAUUUUUGAAAAAUUUUUAUGUACAUUAAAAUUUUAAAUUUCUAGA